GUGCUCACUUUGGCAGCACAUACAUUAAAACUGGAACGAUACAGAGAAGAUUCGCAUGGCCCCUGCACAAGGAUGGCGCGCGAAUUCGUGAAGCGUUCCAUAUUUUA
rnacentral:snRNA from 1 species